UACGAAGGGGGCUAGCGUUGUUCGGAAUUACUGGGCGUAAAGCGCACGCAGGCGGCUCGAUAAAUUAGAAGUGAAAGCCCCGGGCUUAACCUGGGAAUUGCUUUUAAGACUGUCGGGCUAGAAUCCAGAAGAGGGUAGUGGAAUUCCGAGUGUAGAGGUGAAAUUCGUAGAUAUUCGGAAGAACACCAGUGGCGAAGGCGGCGAUCUGGGAAGAUACUGACGCUGAGGUGCGAAAGCGUGGGGAGCAAACAGG
rnacentral:rRNA from 1 species